rfam:Oryza sativa (indica cultivar-group) chromosome 10, whole genome shotgun sequence.
GGUCAAGUGAAGAAGCGCAUACGGUGGAUGCCUUGGCAGUCAGAGGCGAUGAAAGACGUGGUAGCCUGCGAUAAGCUUCGGGGAGUCGGCAAACAGACUUUGAUCCGGAGAUCUCUGAAUGGGGGAACCCAGCCAUCAUAAGAUGGUUAUCUUGUACUGAAUACAUAGGUGCAGAGGCGAACCAGGGGAACUGAAACAUCUAAGUACCCUGAGGAAAAGAAAUCAACCGAGAUUCCCUUAGUAGUGGCGAGCGAACGGGGACUAGCCCUUAAGUUGAUUUGAGAUUAGUGGAAGGUUCUGGAAAGUUCCGCCGUAGUGGGUGAUAGCCCCGUACACGAAAAUCUCUUAUCAAUGAAAUCGAGUAGGACGGAGCACGAGAAACUUUGUCUGAACAUGGGGGGACCAUCCUCCAAGGCUAAAUACUACUGACUGACCGAUAGUGAACCAGUACCGUGAGGGAAAGGCGAAAAGAACCCCGGAGAGGGGAGUGAAAUAGAACCUGAAACCGUAUGCGUACAAGCAGUGGGAGCCUACUUUGUUGGGUGACUGCGUACCUUUUGUAUAAUGGGUCAGCGACUUAUAUUCAGUGGCGAGCUUAACCGAAUAGGGGAGGCGUAGCGAAAGCGAGUCUUAAUAGGGCGCUUUAGUCGCUGGGUAUAGACCCGAAACCGGGCGAUCUAUCCAUGGGCAGGUUGAAGGUUAGGUAACACUGACUGGAGGACCGAACCGACUACCGUUGAAAAGUUAGCGGAUGACCUGUGGAUCGGAGUGAAAGGCUAAUCAAGCUCGGAGAUAGCUGGUUCUCCCCGGAAACUAUUUAGGUAGUGCAUCGUGCGGACACUUCCGGGGGUAGAGCACUGUAAUCGUUGGGGGGGUCAUUGCGAUCUACCCCGCGAUAGCAAACUCCGAAUACCGGAAAGUGAUACACGGGAGACAGACGGUGGGUGCUAACGUCCAUCGUCAAGAGGGAAACAACCCAGACCGCCAGCUAAGGUCCCAAAUCCAUGGCUAAGUGGAAAACGAGGUGGGAAGGCAUAGACAGCUAGGAGGUUGGCUUAGAAGCAGCCACCCUUUAAAGAAAGCGUAAUAGCUCACUAGUCGAGUCGGUCUGCGCGGAAGAUGUAACGGGGCUAAACCAUGCACCGAAGCUGUGGACUUGCACUAUGUGCAAGUGGUAGAGGAGCGUUCUGUAAGCCGUUGAAGGUGACUCGUGAGGGUUGCUGGAGGUAUCAGAAGUGCGAAUGCUGACGUGAGUAACGAUAAGGGGAGUGAAAAACUUCCCCGCCGGAAGACCAAGGGUUCCUAUCCCAUGCUAAUCAGGGCUGGGUGAGUCGACCCCUAAGGCGAGGGCGAAAGCCGUAGUCGAUGGGAAACGGGUUAAUAUUCCCGUACCGGCAAUACUGCGAUGGGGGGACGGAGAAAGCUAGGUCAGGCAUGGCGUUGGUAGUCCAGGUGGAAGUGCGUAGGAAGGGGGAUUAGGCAAAUCCGGUUCCCUAUAUUCUGAGACACGAGACGAGCCACUACGGUGGUGAAGCUGUUGAUGCCAUGCUUCCAAGAAAAGUCUCCUAAGCUUCAGGUAACUGGGAACCGUACCCCAAACCGACACAGGUGGUCAGGUAGAGAAUACCAAGGCGCUUGAGAGAACUCGGGUGAAGGAACUAGGCAAAAUGGCACCGUAACUUCGGGAGAAGGUGCGCCGGUGAGGGUGAAGUAUUUACUACGUAAGCCCAUGCCGGUCGAAGAUACCAGGCCGCUGCGACUGUUUAUUAAAAACACAGCACUCUGCAAACACGAAAGUGGACGUAUAGGGUGUGACGCCUGCCCGGUGCCGGAAGGUUAAUUGAUGGGGUUAGCGCAAGCGAAGCUCUUGAUCGAAGCCCCGGUAAACGGCGGCCGUAACUAUAACGGUCCUAAGGUAGCGAAAUUCCUUGUCGGGUAAGUUCCGACCUGCACGAAUGGCGUAACGAUGGCGGCGCUGUCUCCACCCGAGACUCAGUGAAAUUGAAAUCGCUGUGAAGAUGCAGUGUAUCCGCGGCUAGACGGAAAGACCCCGUGAACCUUUACUAUAGCUUUGCACUGGACUUUGAGCUUGCUUGUGUAGGAUAGGUGGGAGGCUUUGAAGUGGGGACGCCAGUUCUCAUGGAGCCAUCCUUGAAAUACCACCCUGGCAACCUUGAGGUUCUAACUCUGGUCCGUUAUCCGGAUCGAGGACAGUGUAUGGUGGGUAGUUUGACUGGGGCGGUCUCCUCCCAAAGAGUAACGGAGGAGUACGAAGGUGCGCUCAGACCGCUCGGAAAUCGGUCGUAGAGUAUAAAGGCAAAAGCGCGCUUGACUGCGAGACAGACACGUCGAGCAGGUACGAAAGUAGGUCUUAGUGAUCCGGUGGUUCUGUAUGGAAGGGCCAUCGCUCAACGGAUAAAAGGUACUCCGGGGAUAACAGGCUGAUACCGCCCAAGAGUUCAUAUCGACGGCGGUGUUUGGCACCUCGAUGUCGGCUCAUCACAUCCUGGGGCUGAAGCCGGUCCCAAGGGUAUGGCUGUUCGCCAUUUAAAGUGGUACGCGAGCUGGGUUUAGAACGUCGUGAGACAGUUCGGUCCCUAUCUGCCGUGGACGUUUGAGAUUUGAGAGGGGCUGCUCCUAGUACGAGAGGACCGGAGUGGACGAACCUCUGGUGUUCCGGUUGUCACGCCAGUGGCAUUGCCGGGUAGCUAUGUUCGGAAGAGAUAACCGCUGAAAGCAUCUAAGCGGGAAACUUGCCUCAAGAUGAGAUCUCACUGGAGCCUUGAGCUCCCUGAAGGGCCGUCGAAGACUACGACGUUGAUAGGUUGGGUGUGUAAGCGCUGUGAGGCGUUGAGCUAACCAAUACUAAUUGCCCGUGAGGCUUGACCAU